GACGAACGCUGGCGGCGUGCUUAACACAUGCAAGUCGAACGGAAAGGCCCUGCUUGCAGGGUACUCGAGUGGCGAACGGGUGAGUAACACGUGGGUGAUCUGCCCUGCACUUCGGGAUAAGCCUGGGAAACUGGGUCUAAUACCGGAGAGGAGCCAUCUUUAGUGUGAUGGUUGGAAAGUUUUUUCGGUGUAGGAUGAGCUCGCGGCCUAUCAGCUUGUUGGUGGGGUAAUGGCCUACCAAGGCGGCGACGGGUAGCCGGCCUGAGAGGGUGGACGGCCACAUUGGGACUGAGAUACGGCCCCGAAUCCUACGGGAGGCAGCAGUGGGGAAUAUUGCACAAUGGGCGCAAGCCUGAUGCAGCGACGCCGCGGGGGGGAUGACGGGCUUCGGGUUGUAAACUCCUUUCGCUAGGGACGAAGCUUUUUGUGACGGUACCUAGAUAAGAAGCACCGGCUAACUACGUG
rnacentral:rRNA from 1 species